rnacentral:rRNA from 1 species
UACGUAGGGGGCUAGCGUUGUCCGGAUUUAUUGGGCGUAAAGCGCGUGUAGGCGGCCAGAUAGGUCUGCUGUGAAAACUCGAGGCUCAACCUCGAGCUGUCGGCGGAAACCAUUUGGCUAGAGUCCGGAAGAGGAGAGUGGAAUUCCCGGUGUAGCGGUGAAAUGCGCAGAUAUCGGGAGGAACACCAAUGGCGAAAGGCAGCUCGCUGGGACGUUACUGACGCUGAGACGCGAAAGCGUGGGGAGCAAACAGG